UCGAGAAUCUUCGGCAAUGAGCGCAAGCUUGACCGAGCGACGCCGCGUGCGGGAUGAAGGCCUUCGGGUUGUAAACCGCUUUGGUCCGAAAGAAAGGGUAAAACUUGAUCGAUCGGAGAAACAAGGACGGGCUAAGUUCGUGCCAGCAGCCGCGGUAAGACGAACCGUCCAAACGUUAUUCGGAAUCACUGGGCUUAAAGGGCGCGUAGGCGGCCGAGCGGGUCGUGGGUGAAAUCCUCCAGCUUAACUGGAGAACUGCUUACGAUACCACUGCGGCUCGAGGAAGGAAGGGGUCAUGGGAACUGUCGGUGGAGCGGUGAAAUGCGUUGAUAUCGACAGGAACGCCUGUGGCGAAAGCGCAUGACUGGUCCUUUUCUGACGCUGAGGCGCGAAAGCCAGGGGAGCAAACGGGAUUAGAUACCCUUGUAGUCCCUGAGCGGGCUGGCAAGGCGCAU
rnacentral:rRNA from 1 species